CGGUGAAUACGUUCCCGGACCUUGCACACACCGCCCGUCAAGCCAUGGAAGCUGGGUGUACCUAAAGUCGGUAACCGUAAGGAGCCGCCUAGGGUAAAACUAGUGACUGGGCUAAGUCGUAACAAGGUACCC
rnacentral:rRNA from 1 species